rnacentral:rRNA from 1 species
AUUGAACGCUGGCGGCAGGCCUAACACAUGCAAGUCGAACGAGUGGCGGACGGGUGAGUAAUGUCUGGGAAACUGCCUGAUGGAGGGGGAUAACUACUGGAAACGGUAGCUAAUACCGCAUACCAUCGGAUGUGCCCAGAUGGGAUUAGCUAGUAGGUGGGGUAAAGGCUCACCCAGGCGACGAUCCCUAGCUGGUCUGAGAGGAUGAACAGCCACCAGGGAACUGAGACACGGUCCAGGCUCCUGCGGGAGGCAGCAGUGGGAAAUAUUGCACAAUGGGCGCAAGCCUGAUGCAGCCAUGCCGCGUGUAUGAAGAAGGCCUUCGGGUUGUAGAGUACUUUCAGCGAGGAGGCGUUACCCGCAGAGGAAGCACCGGCUAACUCCGUGCCAGCAGCCGCGGUGAUAC